rnacentral:rRNA from 1 species
GACGAACGCUGGCGGCGUGCUUAACACAUGCAAGUCGAACGGAAAGGCCCUGCUUUUGUGGGGUGCUCGAGUGGCGAACGGGUGAGUAACACGUGAGUAACCUGCCCUUGACUUUGGGAUAACUUCAGGAAACUGGGGCUAAUACCGGAUAGGAGCUCCUGCUGCAUGGUGGGGGUUGGAAAGUUUCGGCGGUUGGGGAUGGACUCGCGGCUUAUCAGCUUGUUGGUGGGGUAGUGGCUUACCAAGGCUUUGACGGGUAGCCGGCCUGAGAGGGUGACCGGCCACAUUGGGACUGAGAUACGGCCCAGACUCCUACGGGAGGCAGCAGUGGGGAAUAUUGCACAAUGGGCGGAAGCCUGAUGCAGCAACGCCGCGUGCGUGAUGACGGCCUUCGGGUUGUAAACCGCUUUCGCCGGUGACGAAGCGUGAGUGACGGUAAUGGGUAAAGAAGCACCGGCUAACUACGUG